GGUGAGAUAUGAGAGCGUCUGCAGUAUUAAAAAAGAAGAAAUACACCUGAGCUAUCACUAGGACGGAGACAGAGGAACGGCGGUCAUAGAUGGCAGGAAGCUGAGCCGUGGCUCAAACUCGUGGGGCUCCUUCCUGAUCCGUGGCUCAGAAUUCGGGGUACUGUCGUCUCCUACCUUAGCCUGCUGGAUUCAGUUAGUGGGAGUUGCGGAGACGCCGCCGCCACCCGACUCGGGCGAAUCCAUUGCCGGCGAUGGAAUUCCUUCCGCAGCUGAUUAGAAGGUCCCCAUUGGUUGAGGAGGUGGAUGGAAGUCAUCCCUCCAUGGAUCUGCUGGAUUACGGACGGCGGCGUCUUUCAGGGCAGUGGAAGAACCGACAGCGGCGGCGUCCUUGUGGGUAGACAUGCGGAACUGUCAAACAAGGAGGCGUGGAUGGACGACGGGAGAGCUCGGCCCAGUUGUCUGAGCUAUCGACUUGCAAGAUGGAUGCACCCGGGUGGUUAAAGAGGUUCGCUAGAAAAUCGGAAAUCUAACAUUUUGCCUAUGUCUGCUUCGUUGAUAAUACUGGGAUCAAAGUGAUCUGGGAUGAGUAGAUCUGUGACAAUUCCCUUGGCCAUGGUAGCAAUGGAAAUUGGUAUUGUUUUGAGUGUACGUUAUGAUAUUAUUCUCUGCUAUUACAAAAACUUAGCAAAUGUACAUACUGCUUGAAGGAUGUUGUGAUUAUAAUUUAUUUGAGGCAAUGCACACAUUGAUGUCUCAUUCGGCAUUAAGCAUGUGGAGUCGUUAAUUUUCUCAACUAUUCUCCUUGGAUAUAUGCUCAUGGAGUCGCUUUGUUGCUUCAUUCUCCUCUCUGAAUUCAAGAUUUGGUUCAGCAGUGCACACAUUGAUGUCUCAUUCAGCAUUAAGCAUACAGAGUCGUUAAUUUUCUCAAGUAUUCUCCUUGGAUAUAUGUUAAUGGAGUCGUUUGUUGCAUCAUUGUCCUCUCUUAAUUGAAGAUUUGGUUCAGCACUGCCCAGGAUUUUUGGUGUAUGUUGUCAUGGAUUCGAUGUCACGCAGGUCCAGGGAUUUCAGAAGGCCUAGUCAGUCCACAAUAGUUCUUGAGAAUUACUUGUUGACCUAUACCCUGUUGCAGACAAACCGACUAUAGAUACUUGCGAGUUGCGAUACGAUCAACUGAAAUUUAGAAUUACUGGUUGCUAAAGGGCACACAUGAAAAACCGAAUUCGUGUUUUUUACUUCUUCCUUUUUGUAGUAUUUGAUGGAGAACAAUGAUUUCAUGGCCAUCGGGAUAAUCGGUCCACCUGGUCUGGCAUGUCAACCACCAUGAACGAGAUUUAUGGAUACAAAGGGAGCUCGCCUGAAACUGCGUUCAUAUACUCAUGUGGUUCCAUUGUACUUAAAUUCCGGUUGCCUUUUUACUUAUAUAUGGUUCCUUCCACCUUUGCCUUUCCAAUAACCAGUAAUUGAUCAGUAUUUUCUGUUGCUCUGCAAGGAAUUUCUGUAGCUUGGCGUUUUUUUGGCAUCUGUCGAUGAUAUUUUGCUGGCUCAUCAGAAGGGAUUAAUAAUUUUAACAUGUGGGAGAUCAUGCUUAUGGUUAAUUUGCUGAUGUAACAUAUCUGACCCAUCAUUUUAAACCUCAGUUAUCUUCAUCAAACAAGGAAAAUGAAAUUGAUAACCUAUCAGGCAAUGAAGACUGCAUGUCCAAUCUCUGUUUUCUACACGCCGGCCUGGAUUUUCUUCUCAUGAAAAGUGAAAAUUAACACUGGCGAAACAUAUGACCAAGAGUCCGCAUGACCUACAUCAUCGACUCUGCCCAGGCCGCUCCAGCAGUAGUGAGGAUCCCUUACAAUAUGAUACUUGAUAUGCUAACAGAACUAGGAUUACCAAAGGUUUAAUAUCGCCAGAAAAUAUAUGACGGUAGUAAGUUCUGUGUCACUGUCUUUUUACCACUCCUAUGCUACUCCAUGACAGUGGAUCUACCCAUGCAUCCAUAUCUGCAGUCCUUCCCAUAGAUGCUGAUGCAGCAGAGGACACAGUUGCUAUUGAAGCUAAAGGUGCUUGGAAAAGACAACCAACACAGAGAUCAGACUACAAUGAAAAUCGCAUGAAGCGCCUCCAGAACCUGAAUGAGCAGCUCAUGCACCUGCUCAACAUACUGAAUGGGAGCAAAGAAAAGCUUGCUAGGGGUUGACUCCUUGCAGUGAGGCACAUGAGCUCCUUUUGUGAACAAAUACAAAACUUGACAUCUCUUCACUACUCAUUUGCCUGAGACGCCAUAAGAUGAGGUCAUAAACACACCUCUAGGCAAUAUCGGUGGUAGCAUUUUAAUUCUGCACAGUGAGCUAUGUAGUAGAUUUGCUGUCACUUGUCAUGUGCUUUGGUGCAGGGGAGACCGCUGAUGUGGGCUAACCUGGCUAUCGAGGGACAUGCUAGCGAGAUAUGCACAAGGGCAAUGCUUGGGCAUAUAUUGUAUGAGUGCGUCGCAUACCAGGUUUAAUAUGCGAAGAAGAAGAAAUCAUAUCUUGCAAUACAUAUGGAGGUCGAGCGCAAGGAGAAGUGGUGCGGAGUAUCAUACAAGGUCACAAUGAUGGAGGGUGGGGAUGGCUUUGACUGAGUGUGGGCAGAUCGCCCACAUGAGCCUACUACACAUUAACACACCCAUGUUCUUGAGGUAUUGUUUUCCUUAAAUUAGUAUAGUUCCCAGCACUAGCAAUGCAAAUGUGCAGGGUUAAGGGCCACAGGAGAAACAACUGCACAAAACCAAUGGAUCUGAGAUUAGGAGGUGUCUGAUGUUGGUGUGAAGUGCAUGGCAGCAGCAGCAGCAUCAGUUCUGACUGAUGAAAACCAAGGAGAGCAAGGGUGUAAUCUGAGAUAUGUUGAUGUGUUCGGCAGUGUGGUGCCGUCCGGCAGUGAGGCUGACUAUGGAUGUAUCUAUGCAGUGCAUUUCCAGGAUCAGACGAUUCGAUGUAGAAUUAUUGUUAUUUUCACGUGAUUCAUGGCCCCACCUGGUGUGCGUGAUGCCGGUGACGAGAGUGGCAUGUUGCCUGAGACUGAAUUGCAGUGCUUCUCUGUGUUUGAUACUGAAUUCUGAUGCUUGUUCAGGCAGACUUGUGGCGCUUGUUUGUGUAGCAUGAAACUGAAUUGUGCCACCUGAAGUUGUAUAGAGAAUAUCUAAAAUAAGUGGAAUCAGGGGUGAUGUGAUCAUUGGGCGUUGGGUAGCAUCAAUUCCUGUUUUUUCGGG